rnacentral:lncRNA from 1 species
UUUUGCAGAACUUUGCAUCCUCCAUAGAAAGAAACCUUAAAACCUCCAUAAUCUUCUCAUACUAGCUCUAAAAUUCAUGUUUUUGCACACUUUUUCAUAGGGUUUUUCGUUUUCUUUCACUUUUUCACCUCAAAAACCCUCAAAAAAAGUUUUUCCUCUGCACUUUCUCUCACUAUCUGAACAUUUUUAGAGAGCGAAGCUCUUCAAAUUAGCUUGAAAACUCUUGAAGGAGUUUUCCUCUUUUAAUCCUCACUAAGAAAAUUCAACUACAAGUCCACCAAGGUAAGAAAUGAGUUAGGGUUGAUUUUAAGUUGUUAAAGAUGGCUAAUAAUUAGAUUUGUGGGCUGUUAUAUUUUUUAUGGUUAUAUUGUAUGUGAUAGGUUCCAACGAGGCCCCACAUGUCCAUUUGGAGCAUUAGUUGAAGUUAAAGUUGAUCAAAAGAAUCAACAAGAACAAGUGAGUGAACUUGCAUUAAAUUAUUUUUGGGAAAUACAUAUGUGUUGAGAUGGAGCACUUAAAUGAAUAUAUUUGACUUUUUUUCUCUAAAUCAUGCUUGGGAACAAGCCCUUGAUGAAACAUUUUAUGUUGUAAAAUGUGUAAUGUGAUGAACCCAUGUGUUCAUAUAUUCUGAUGAUAUAUAUGCUAUGCUUUGAAUGAUAAUAUUAUGUGAUAAUUGUAACCGCGCGUGUGUGGUGUGGGAGUGCACAUGCCGGUGAUGAUGGGUGAUUCCAGCUAUGUGCGGUGUGGGAGUGCACAUGAGCUGAUGACCGGUGGAUGAUGAUUCCAACUAUGUGCGGUGUGGGAAUGCACAUGAGCUGAUGACUGGUGGAUGAUGAUUCCAGCUAUGUGCGGUGUGGGAGUGCACAUGAGCUGAUGACCAGUGGAUGAUGAUUCCAAGUAUGUGCGGUGUGGGAGUGCACAUGAGCUGAUGACUGGUGGAUGAUGAUUCCAGCUAUUUUCGGUGUGGGAGUGCACAUGAGCUGAUGAGCUGGUGGUUGUAUACAUGUUUACACAUUCCAUAGAAAUGUUAGAGAAAAUAUUAUGUGAUUGCAAUGAAUGUUGAAUGUUGAAAUUGUUAAUUGCUUCCAAAUUGAUUUUCAAUACAACGAGAAACUCUCUGUCUUACCUGUCUUGCUAGGAUAUUUGCUGUAGUUUCACUCUUUUCAACUUUGUUGUUGAUCAUAGAUCCUUCACUUUAAGGGAUUAAAUAAUAAAAGGUUGAAUUAAAUGGCUUUACAAAAAAUUAAGCUAAAUUGCAUUGUUUUUAACAUAAGUGCAUCAUGUUUUCUACAACUCUCCGUAUCGUUUGCUUGUUCCCUUCCUAUGUUCACUCACUGGGUUUAUACUCACUCUUUUCAACUUCAUGUUUUCAGAUUCAGAGGCAGUUGGGAUCUAGAUUGAGGUGUCCACUUGUAUUCACCUUUUUGGUAAGUACUAUGGUAUUUAAUAAUUGUACCCGUAUCUAAAGUCACUCCACUGGUAGUCAAUGGUUUUUGCAUGUGUACAUGUGCACUUGAUGUAAAUUACUAGAACUUAUGUUAUAACCAAUGUAUGUAUAUUUUGAUUGGUGAUGCCACCAUGAGUUGGCAAUGGAUGAUAUUAUUUUUGGGAUGAUACAAAUAUAAGUAUUUGAU